rnacentral:rRNA from 1 species
UGAAUACGAGACGCUACGGCGUCGAAGCAGUCUAUGUCAUACUUCCAAGAAAAGCUUGCACUGUCAUAAACAAAUAAUGCCUGUACCAUAACCGACACAGGUGGGUAGGUAGAGUAUACUAAGGGGCGCGAGAUAACUCUCUCUAAGGAACUCGGCAAAAUGACUCCGUAACUUCGGGAGAAGGAGUGCCUUAUUUAUAAGGUUGCAAUAACAAGAUCCAAGCAACUGUUUAUCAAAAACACAGGUCUCCGCUAAGUCGUAAGACGAUGUAUGGGGGCUGACGCCUGCCCAGUGCCAGAAGGUUAAAGAAGUUGGUUAGCAUUAGCGAAGCUGAUAACUGAAGCCCUGGUGAACGGCGGCCGUAACGAUAACGGUCCUAAGGUAGCGAAAUUCCUUGUCGGGUAAGUUCCGACCCGCGCGAAAGGCGUAAUGAUUUGGAUACUGUCUCAGAGAGGGGCUCGGUGAAAUAGACUUGUCUGUGAAGAUGCGGACUACCUGCACCAGGACAGAAAGACCCUAUGAAGCUUUACUGUAACUUGAAAUUGAAAUUGGACUUUAUUUGCGCAGUAUAGGUGGGAGGCAUUGAUAAUAUUCUUGCGGGAAUGUUGGAGCCAUCAGUGAGAUACCACUCUUGUAAUGUUAGAUUUCUAACUUUGGAUCAUUAUCUGGUCAAAGGACAGUUUCAGGCGGGCAGUUUGACUGGGGCGGUCGCCUCCUAAAUGGUAACGGAGGCGCACAAAGGUUUCCUCUGAACGGGUAGAAAUCGUAUCUAGAGUGUAAAGGCAUAAGGAAGCUUGACUGUGAGACCUACAAGUCGAGCAGGGACGAAAGUCGGUCUUAGUGAUCUGACGGUGCUGAGUGGAAAGGCCGUCACUCAACGGAUAAAAGUUACUCUAGGAUAACAGGCUGAUCUCCCCCAAGAGUUCACAUCGACGGGGAGGUUUGGCACCUCGAUGUCGGCUCAUCGCAUCCUGGGGCGGUAGUACGUCCCAAGGGUUGGGCUGUUCGCCCAUGAAAGCGGUACGCGAGCUGGGUUCAGAACGUCGUGAGACAGUUCGGUCCAUAUCCGGUGUAGGCGUUAGAAUAUUGAGAGGAGCCUUCUUUAGUACGAGAGGACCGAGAAGGACAUACCUCUGGUGUACCAGUUAUCGUGCCAACGGUAAACGCUGGGUAGCUAUGUAUGGAGAGGAUAACCGCUGAAAGCAUCUAAGUGGGAAGCCCACCUCAAGAUAAGUAUAC